rnacentral:rRNA from 1 species
AUGGCUUCCCACCCAUCGUCGCCGCUGCCGGAACACCCUAUAUCACCCGCUCCCACCACCAUAAGUGACCUCGGCGACGACCAGCUCCAAGAGAUCUUCAUCCGCCUUCCCGACCUCCCCAGCCUCGCCUCUGCCGCCUUCACCUGCCACGCCUUCCUCGGCGCUGUCCGCUCGUCCCGCGCCUUCCGCCGCCGCUUCAUCGCGCUCCACGCGGCCCCGCUCCUCCCUCGAUUCCUCUCACACACAAUAACUGCCUUCCCAUUCCGGGCCUUAGGGCGCCCCUCCGCCAGAUUCACUCCCCUCCAAGACGAUGACAGUUCCGAGUGGGUGGUCAAUUUCUCCGAUCCUUCGAUUGCCUACAACGGCUCCAUCGCCAUCAAACACCGGAGCAGCAAGCAGGGAGUUUGGUACAACCCCCAAAUGAUGGCACUGUUUCUCCGGCCCAAGGAGCACCACGACAUGCCCGAUGGCACCAUCCUUUGGUUCCACACAUUCUCCUCCGAAGAUGAUCAGAGGCCCUCCCGUGUGGUAUGUGCCCGUCACGACUACUCACGGCCUUGCGCACGCGUCGCUGUCUUCUCAUCGGACACCCUGGAGUGGCAGCUUUUCCCGGAGAUCGCGACGCUGCUGCCUCAGGGCUUCAGGAGCACAGCUAGCACCGUGCUGGAUGGGUUUAUAUGUUGGCAAUGCGAGUCCAUUAACGGGAUGGCUAUCCGCGAGUACAUUUUCAUUGGUCAGAUCAACGAUGGGAAGCUCUGUAUCGUAAAUGAGAAGGAAUGCACGUUUAGCCUUUGGAUCUGGACAGCCAGCGAUGACGGUAUCGAGAGAUUUGUGUUGCACAAGACGUUCCCGUUGUACACUCGCUUUAUGGAUGUCACCAACUGUUCAGUGAAAGAUACAAUCUCAGUGCGGCUUAUGACGGUUUUCAAUGGCUUUUUGUACUUUGCAAUUCGCCCAUGGAGAAAUUACGUGCAUCAGUUCAAAUCCCCUGAGUGGUUCCUGUCCUUGUCUCUGGAAACAGCGGAGCUGAAGCAGCAUCUUAAAAAUAGAAAGCGGCCUGUCUUCCCGGUCCAUCCCUACUCGGUCUGGCCUCCUUUUAUGAAAUACAUCUCGGAGGAUUCAAAAUCUGAGGUUACUGGAAACACUGUCGAAGAUGGUUCUGAGAUCACAGGAAAGGAUUCGUCUGUCCUUAUAAAAGCAUUACGAUCAUAUAAAGAAGCUUUGAUCAAGGAUGGCGACGCAAAUGUUGCAGAGAUAGAGGCCUUCUCCCUUUGCAUUGACAUUGAGGACGAGAAGAACUCACUUGUGAGGAAAAUCAUGGCUUUAGAUGAACUGUUAAGAACUGUGAGAGAUCGUGUCUUGAGGGCGGGUGCAGACCCUGAACUCGCAGACUGGGAAUUCUACAGACAGAAGAUCAAAACAGAGAGCUGGUGGAAAAUGUGCAAGGGAAAGUUAUGGAGAGGUUUCUGCGCUAGCUGA